CCUACGGGAGGCUGCAGUGGGGAAUAUUGCACAAUGGGGGAAACCCUGAUGCAGCAACGCCGCGUGGGUGAAGGAGCGUUUCGGCGCGUAAAGCUCUAUCAGCAGGGAAGAAAAUGACGGUACCUGAGUAAGAAGCCCCGGCUAACUACGUGCCAGCAGCCGCGGUAAUACGUAGGGGGCAAGCGUUAUCCGGAUUUACUGGGUGUAAAGGGCGCGUAGACGGCAGUGCAAGUCUGUAGUGAAAGGCGGGGGCUCAACCCCCGGACUGCUCUGGAAACUGUACGGCUGGAGUGCAGGAGAGGUAAGUGGAAUUCCUAGUGUAGCGGUGAAAUGCGUAGAUAUUAGGAGGAACACCAGUGGCGAAGGCGGCUUACUGGACUGUAACUGACGUUGAGGCUCGAAGGCGUGGGGAGCAAACAGGAUUAGAUACCCUGGUAGUC
rnacentral:rRNA from 1 species